CAUGCAGCCGAGCGGUAGAGAUCUUUCGGGAUCUAUGGAGCGGCGUACGGGUGCGGAACACGUGUGCAACCUGCCUCAUUCUGGGGGAAUGCCUUUCGAAAGGGAGAUUAAUACCCCAAUGUAUAUUGAGUGGCAUCACCAUAUAUUGAAAACUCCGGUGGAUAGAGAUGGGCACGCGCAAGAUAUGAUAGUUGGUGAGGUAACGGCUCACCAAGUCUGCGAUCUUAUGGGGGCCAUGGAGGGUGAUCCCCCACACUGGUACAUGGACACGGACCAGACUCCUACGGGAGGCAGCAGUGAGGAAUAUUGGACAAUGGGUGCAAGCCUGAUCCAGCCAUCCCGCGUGAAGGACGACGGCCCUAUGGGUUGUAAACUUCUUUUGUAUAGGGAUAAACCUAGAUACGUGUAUCAUGCUGAAGGUACUAUACGAAUAAGCACCGGCAUGCUCCGUGCCAGCAGCCGCGGUAAUACGGAGGGUGCAAGCGUUAUCCGGAUUUAUUGGGUUAUGAGGGUCCGUAGGCGGAUUUGUAAGCAUGUGGUGAAAUCUCACAGCCAUACUGUGAAACUGCCAUUGAUACUGCAAGUCUUGAGUGUUGUUGAAGUAGCUGGAAUAAGUAGUGUAGCGGUGAAAUGCAUAGAUAUUACUAUGAACACCAAUUGCGAAGGCAGGCAUCAUAGCACAACUGACGCUGAUGGACGAAAGCGUGGGGAGCGAACAGGAUUAGAUACCCUGGUAGUCCACGCCGUAANCGAUGCUAACUCGUUUUUGGGCUUUCGGGUCAUGAGACUAAGCGAAAGUGAUAAGUUAGCCACCUGGGGAGUACGAACGCAAGUUAUGAACUCAANGGAAUUGACGGGGGCCCGCACAAGCGGUGGAUUAUGUGGUUUAAUUCGAAUGUACGCGAGGAACCUUACCAAGGCCAUAAUGGGAAAUGACAGGCUUAGAAAUAGGCUUUUCUUCGGACAUUUUUCAAGGUGCUGCAUGGUUGUCGUCAGCUCGUGCCGUGAGGUGUUAGGCAUAGUCCUGCAACGAGCGCAACCCCUGUCACUAGUUGCCAUCAUUAAGUUGGGGACUCUAGUGAGACUGCCUACGCAAGUAA
rnacentral:rRNA from 1 species